AAAAAAAUGUGUUAUUCACUAUGACUAUAGUAGCUCACAAAUCACAGAGCAUUAGGUGACAAUGUUCACAUGGCUGAAUAAUACAUAAUUGUCUUCAGUUUUCUGUUCACCACUUUUCUUUUCUUUUUCUUUUUUGGUGUCUAUGUAAUUCCGCUCCUGUAUUAUUUUGAUGCCACUCUAUUAAUAUUUCCUUACCCACCUUCAUUUACCAUUUACAUAUGUUUAACCCUGCCCUUUUCAUCCUUUUUCAUUGCACACAGUUUUCUUUAUUAUGCCUCUUCCGCUAUUGCAUAUUUUUCUAUUUCAGUCACCGUGCUAGUUUU